CGGACGGGUGAGUAAUGUCUGGGAAACUGCCUGAUGGAGGGGGAUAACUACUGGAGACGGUAGCUAAUACCGCAUAACGUCGCAAGACCAAAGAGGGGGACCUUAGGGCCUCUUGCCAUCGGAUGUGCCCAGAUGGGAUUAGCUAGUAGGUGGGGUAACGGCUCACCUAGGCGACGAUCCCUAGCUGGUCUGAGAGGAUGACCAGCCACACUGGAACUGAGACACGGUCCAG
rnacentral:rRNA from 1 species